rnacentral:rRNA from 1 species
AGCGAACGCUGGCGGCAGGCUUAACACAUGCAAGUCGAGCGGGCACUUUCGGGUGUCAGCGGCGGACGGGUGAGUAACGCGGGGGAACGUGCCCUCGGGUUCGGAAUAACUCAGGGAGACUUGAGCUAAUACCGGAUACGCCCUUUUGGGGAAAGGCUUGCCGCCGGGGGAUCGGCCCGCGUCUGAUUAGCUAGUUGGUGGGGUAACCGCUCACCAAGGCGACGAUCAGUAGCUGGUCUGAGAGGGUGAUCAGCCACACUGGGACUGAGACACGGCCCAGACUCCUACGGGAGGCAGCAGUGGGGAAUAUUGGACAAUGGGCGCAAGCCUGAUCCAGCCAUGCCGCGUGAGUGAUGAAGGCCUUAGGGUUGUAAAGCUCUUUUAUCCGGGACGAUAAUGACGGUACCGGAGGAAUAAGCCCCGGCUAACUUCGUG